UACUUGGAAGUCGUGGUAGUGGUCUUAGAGCGGUGGACUCUUUCACUAAGAAUUGAAAAAGAAAGGGUAGGCGGGAGGCAAUAGACAGUGGACUUAGGUCUAGGACUGACUACUCUGAGACUCAGUGAGGGAAAGCAUGCCGAGUACAUAUAUAGCUCUCUAUCUCAAGUUUAGCCUUAGUCUCCUCUACCUCCAUUCUUUUCCACUGGCCUAACUAUCCCUUCACUCCCUCAUUUCACCGUUGUUCGGGUCUACAAGGCUGCAGAUGGAUGCCAUGGCCUAAGAAAGAUC
rnacentral:lncRNA from 1 species